rnacentral:antisense_RNA from 1 species
AGGGGGACCGGCGGUCCGGGCGAGGCCUCGGCCGCGCAUCGCACCCCGGCUCCCCGCCGCCGGAGUUGAGGGGGAGGCGCGCUCUCCGUAAGAGCCGGAGGCGGGGCGCCAUCGCCCUCCCACUCCCUGGCGGGCGGGCCGGGGGAGCCCGGGGCUGCGAACACCCCCAGACGGGCGACUGCGGGAGGGGAGGCUGGACCAAGGGGCCUGGUCCACCGGACCAGCGGUGGCGGCAUCGGCAUCUCGCCUCCUUCAGGCCUGCACGCGCCACAGGCCGCAGCCUGGACCAACCCCGCGUCCCCGGGCCGUGAGCGCUGCGGUCCCGGCCCCCCAGAGCGGGACGCCGGGCGGCCGCGGCCCCCCGGACCCGGCUCUCCGCCCGCUCCGCCCGCAGUCCCGGCGCGGAGAGCGGCCGUCCGAGCCGCUGCCGCGGCAGCGCGGGUGUCGGCGGCGGAGCCCGGGGCGGGGAAGAGCGGAGGAAGGGGCGGCGAGGGGGCGGGCCGGCGGCGGCCAGGGAGGUCGGAGUGCGCGGGGCUCGGCACCCCCUCGGCCCGCGCUGCGCCAGCACCACCUGCGGAGCUGCGGUGCCCACGCCGUGCCGCGACCCCGCCGCCCCCUGCUCCCUCCACACGCGGGCAAACAAAACAAGUUGCCGGUCGCUGCCGCCGGAGGGGGCCGGGCGGGUCACUCACCCUCAUCCUGCUCAGCGGGCUUGGGUCGUCCGGCCGCGGGGUCAGGGAAGACCAGAGGACCACUAGCCCCAGGAAGCUUCCCACCACUAGCAAACUGCGUGGUGAAUUUGUAACCGAAAGGCCCAGGUGAGAUGUGCAAAUAUCACUGGAUUGGAGGAGCUCACUUGGAAAGCCAGUAUUCCUCCUGAGCUAAUGAAAAGAAAGGCUGUCGUCUUAUGCCAAAAGCAAUACCAACCUUGUUCACGGGCUGAGAUCUAGAGUGUGUAAUUCACGAAGUAUGAAUCUGCUGGGUAAUGUGAUAUGAAAAGCGAAUGCACCAUUUCUUGGUGAUGAUUCAGGUCAGCGUUGGGACCCAGGAAUCUCCUGUUAAUCAGUACCCUGGUGAUUUUGAUCCAGAGACAGUGUCUAUUAUCUGGUCCUGUUGUCAAGGCUGGUCUCAAACUCCUGGCCUCCAGCGAUCCUCCCUUUUUGGCCUCCCAAGAUGCUGGUAUUACAGGCAUGAGCCACCAUGGUCCACCUGGACUCCUUUUCAUAGGAGACAGUUCCCUAGGUGGAGACUGGGCUUGAAACAGUUCCUGGGAUAAUAGUCACUAAAGAAGAGGGUAGAGACUAGAACUGAAUGAGAUGGACAUAGAGAUGGCCAAGAAAAGCAUCGUCCUCUGCCAAGUCAUGGGGUCAUGUGUGGUGGAUGGUGACAUGGUGUCCUCAGCUCAGAGUCCAGCUGGGGGCUCAGAAGCAAGAUAAAAAUGUGUAUGAAGGUGGAGCCUUGUCUAUCUAGUUCGUUAUUUGUUAUCCAUGUCUGAUUGUUCAUGUUGGAAGGCAUACUUUCUGAACUCUUCUCAAGUGAUGAUAAAAUGGACUAGUUGAUAAAUCUUUCUGGUACAGGUUUUCAAAACUUCCAUCUAUCCACUGUGCUUUCAUGUUAAAGAAAGAAUGGAAACAUCAUCUCUAAAACAAGAUAAACAGCUCUGGGGCUGAGGAGGCCAGCCUGCUACUGGGUAGUUUUGAUAUCAGAAGUAUUUCAAAACCUCUCCCCUGUGGAGGAUGAGUUAUAUACCCACCCUGGGGCAUCAACAUGAAGCUGCUGCCCAGUGUGCCAUUGACGGAACACUGCAGGUCGGACAGGCCGCUCCUGCUAAAGUGUAACUUAAGUUAUUCUCACAGAAGUACCAUCCCACAGAACCCACCCGGGGGACUGUGGUUCUACACUGACUCAGUGAUCAGAGUGGGGACAUUUUCUUAUCCUUCCAGAGACUGACAAGAGAGGGGACCUGAAGGUACCUUGAUCUCACAGCUGCAUCCUGAUACAUAUAUUUUUAAUACUGUGAUGGGAAUAAAUUACUCUGAGGCUCCCAAUAA